UUUCCAUAAAUGGGGUCGAGAAUCAAGACCAGCAAGAACCCGAACCGUACAGUGACGACGACGAAAUCAAUGGAGUGACACAAGGUGAUAGACUUCGGGCCCUGAAAAGCAGAAGACAAUCAAAAACAAACGCUAUUCCUCUCACUCUCUCCAUUUCAAGGACUAAAACAGUCUUGCGUUAAGUAAAAACCUGUGACCAGAGCUGAAGGAAGACUCUAGGAACUGAAAACUGCAGCAGAAAUUAGCACAAUUUGAAAACAAAACAAAAUUGCAAAAGCCUUAGUUGCUUUCCACCUAAGAAGUCGAUCAAUGGAGAAAGUGUCCGCUGGAGUUUCGAUAAUGAACUUUGAGUUUGGGUGCAAGCGAAGGACUCAGAGAAGGGCCCAGCUCUCAAGCUGAACGACAAAAAUGCUGUUGUAAAUUUAGUCUCAGGUGUAAAUACCCAGCCCUCUGGUUCCCAGGGAGCUGGCUGCUCUGAGGUGCACGUGUGUCUCUGUGAUGGCAAUCAUUGUAGUUGCUGGCCUUCAGAAGAAUUGAGGAUCUGAUGGAGGUUUUUUAUGUAUUUAUUUUCUGUUCACCUUGUGACCCUGUGUCAAAAUUUGUAAAGAUACAAAAGGCAUUAAUUACUGAGAUGGUACUUUCUGUAAUUUGAUACUAUUUGGCUUAAUCAUCU